rnacentral:rRNA from 1 species
AUUGAACGCUGGCGGCAUGCCUUACACAUGCAAGUCGAACGGCAGCGCGGGGCAACCUGGCGGCGAGUGGCGAACGGGUGAGUAAUAUAUCGGAACAUACCCUAGAGUGGGGGAUAACGUAGCGAAAGUUACGCUAAUACCGCAUACGCACUAAGGUGGAAAGUGGGGGGAUUCGCAAGAACCUCAUGCUCAUGGAGUGGCCGAUAUCUGAUUAGCUAGUUGGUGAGGUAAAGGCUCACCAAGGCGACGAUCAGUAGCUGGUUUGAGAGAACGACCAGCCACACUGGAACUGAGACACGGUCCAGACUCCUACGGAGGCAGCAGUGGGGAAUUUUGGACAAUGGGGGCAACCCUGAUCCAGCAAUGCCGCGUGAGUGAAGAAGGCCUUCGGGUUGUAAAGGCUCUUUUGUUCAGGGAAGAAACGGUAGAGUUCGUAAUAAGGACUUGCUAAUGACGGUACCUGAAGAAUAAGCACCGGCGUAACUACGU